AACGAACGCUGGCGGCAGGCCUAACACAUGCAAGUCGAGCGAAGCCUUCGGGCUUAGCGGCGGACGGGUGAGUAACGCGUGGGCACGUGCCCUUUGGUACGGAAUAGCCCCGGGAAACUGGGAGUAAUACCGUAUGUGGUCGCGAGUAGACAGAUUUAUCGCCAAAGGGUAGGACCGCGUUGGAUUAGGUAGUUGGUGAGGUAAUGGCCUACCAAGCCGACGAUCCAUAGCUGGUUUGAGAGGAUGAUCAGCCACACUGGGACUGAGACAAGGCCCAGACUCCUACGGGAGGCAGCAGUGGGGAAUCUUAGACAAUGGGGGAAACCCUGAUCUAGCCAUGCCGCGUGAUCGAUGAAGGCCUUAGGGUUGUAAAGAUCUUUCAGUGGGGAAGAUAAUGACUGUACCCACAGAAGAAGCCCCGGCUAACUCCGUGCCAGCCGCCGCAGUAAUAC
rnacentral:rRNA from 1 species